CCGCGCAGGCGCCUGGGCGUCGGCUUCCGCGUAGUUCUGAGGGGACGUUAUGGCCAUAAAAACGGAGGUGCGACCAGAGUCUGAUCUCAGUACCACAGCUGCUAUCAUUAAGCUUCACGGACUGUGUAGGCAAGAGUACCUGAAGCCACAGUCAACUUGAGACAUGAUGGACAGCAAAGUUCAAUGGACAAAGGAGAAUCUUCUUCCUCAGUUUCCCCAGUUUUUUCAGUGUUAAGGAGCUGAUAGACUGGAGUGGCCCAUAAAAGAAGUUGGCGGUGCAUAGCUUUAAAUGUUAGUCAAAGAGCUGUCAGAAUGUGGAUCACACAAGAAUUUAGCAUGGCUCCUGUCCAGAAAGAGAGAAAGUCUAAAGAUCCCCACCAGGAAGAGCUUUUGAUCAGAAGAUGGGCCUGAGCCUACCCCAGUGACCUGGAUGGUCAGCAAAGUGUCUUCCUGACCAAUGCACCAGAAGUGUUGCAGAAAACCAAUAUCAAACCAAAUGGAAGACUUGAAACAAGAAGUUAAA